AGGGUUUGAUUAUGGCUCAGAUUGAACGCUGGCGGCAGGCCUAACACAUGCAAGUCGAGCGCGAAAACACUUCGGUGUGAGUAGAGCGGCGGACGGGUGAGUAAUGCUUGGGAAUCUGCCCAGUAGUGGGGGAUAACGUGUGGAAACGCACGCUAAUACCGCAUACGUCCUACGGGAGAAAGCAGGGGAUCUUCGGACCUUGCGCUAUUGGAUGAGCCCAAGUCAGAUUAGCUAGUUGGUGAGGUAAUGGCUCACCAAGGCGACGAUCUGUAGCUGGUCUGAGAGGAUGAUCAGCCACACUGGGACUGAGACACGGCCCAGACUCCUACGGGAGGCAGCAGUGGGGAAUAUUGCACAAUGGGCGAAAGCCUGAUGCAGCCAUGCCGCGUGUGUGAAGAAGGCUCUAGGGUUGUAAAGCACUUUCAGUGGGGAGGUAAGGUUUAAGUUUAAUACUCUUGAACCUUGACGUUACCUGCAGAAGUAGCACCGGCAAACUCCGUGCCAGCC
rnacentral:rRNA from 1 species